rnacentral:rRNA from 1 species
CAGUCGCCACGGUAAUACGAAGGGGGCUAGCGUUGUUCGGAAUUACUGGGCGUAAAGCGCAUGUAGGCGGAUAUUUAAGUCAGGGGUGAAAUCCCGCAGCUCAACUGCGGAACUGCCUUUGAUACUGGGUAUCUUGAGUAUGGAAGAGGUAAGUGGAAUUGCGAGUGUAGAGGUGAAAUUCGUAGAUAUUCGCAGGAACACCAGUGGCGAAGGCGGCUUACUGGUCCAUUACUGACGCUGAGGUGCGAAAGCGUGGGGAGCAAACAGGAUUAGAUACCCCAGUAGUCCCUGUCUCUUAUAC